rnacentral:misc_RNA from 1 species
GAUGAAGAACGUAGCGAAAUGCGAUAAGUAAUGUGAAUUGCAGAAUUGAGUGAAUCAUCGAAUCUUUGAACGCACAUUGCGCCCGCUAGUAUUCUGGCGGGCAUGCCUGUCCGAGCGUCAUUUCAACCCUCAAGCCCCCGGGCUUGGUGUUGGGGAUCGGCGAGCCUCCGCGCCCGCCGUCCCCUAAAUCUAGUGGCGGUCUCGCUGUAGCUUCCUCUGCGUAGUAGCACACCUCGCACUGGGAAACAGCGCGGCCACGCCGUUAAACCCCCAACUUCUGAACGUUUGACCUCGGAUCAGGUAGGAAUACCCGCUGAACUUAAGCAUAUCAAUAAGCGGAGGA